UACGGGGGGGGUAAGCGUUGUUCGGAAUUACUGGGCGUAAAGGGCUCGUAGGCGGCCAACUAAGUCAGACGUGAAAUCCCUCAGCUUAACUGAGGAACUGCACGGGAUACUGGAAGACUUGAGUUCGGGAGAGGGAAGCGGAAUUCCAGGUGUAGCGGUGAAAUGCGUAGAUAUCUGGAGGAAUACCGGUGGCGAAGGCGGCAUCCUGGACCGACAUUGACGCUGAACGGCGAAAGCUAGGGGAGCAAACGGG
rnacentral:rRNA from 1 species